UCACCCCAAUAACACCCGCAGCCACGGUGCGACUGUCACCCCGUGUCACCUUGUGUCACCUCGUGUCACCCUAUGUCACCCCAAUGACACCCGCGGCCACGGUGCGACUGUCACCUGUGUCACCCCGUGUCACCUUGUGUCACCCCAUGUCACCUCAAUGCCACCCCGUGUCACCCCAAUGACACCCGCAGCCACGGUGCGACUGUCACCCGUGUCACCUCGUGUCACCUCGUGUCACCCUGUGUCAGCCCAUGUCACCCCGUGUCACCCCAUGUCACCCCAAUGACACCCACAGCCAUGGUGCAACUGUCACCCAUGUCACCCGUGUCACCUCGUGUCACCUCGUGUCACCCCGUGUCACCCUGUGUCACCCCAUGUCACCUCAAUGCCACCCCGUGUCACCCCAAUGACACCCGCAGC
rnacentral:lncRNA from 1 species